rnacentral:rRNA from 1 species
UAUAUUUGAGAGUUUGAUCCUGGCUCAGGAUGAACGCUGGCGGCGUGCCUAACACAUGCAAGUCGAGCGAACCCUUCGGGGUGAGCGGCGGACGGGUGAGUAACGCGUGGGUAACCUGCCCUGUACACACGGAUAACAUACCGAAAGGUAUGCUAAUACGGGAUAAAGUAUGAAAGUCGCAUGACUUUUAUAUCAAAGCUCCGGCGGUACAGGAUGGACCCGCGUCUGAUUAGCUAGUUGGUAAGGUAACGGCUUACCAAGGCAACGAUCAGUAGCCGACCUGAGAGGGUGAUCGGCCACAUUGGAACUGAGACACGGUCCAAACUCCUACGGGAGGCAGCAGUGGGGAAUAUUGCACAAUGGGCGAAAGCCUGAUGCAGCAACGCCGCGUGAGCGAUGAAGGCCUUCGGGUCGUAA